rnacentral:misc_RNA from 1 species
CACCACUCAAGCCUCGCUUGGUAUUGGGCGACGGGACCUCCCCGCGCCUCCAUGUCCCCUCGGCUGGACGGUGGGAAUCUCAGCGUUGUGAAUCAAUUCGCUCAGCAUCUCCGCCGGACGCGCCGUCGAAACUUCAUUACAGG